AUAUUAACACACUACUCGGCAGAGACACUUCGAGAGAAGGGUGGAUAUUCUGUCUAGGGGCUACAUUGUAACAAUUAAGAAAUGUAUGUAGCCCGUAAACUAGGUUACAUUUUAACAAUCUAAAUUGUAACUAUUUAAAAUACAUAUAGUUGGCAAUUGUAGUCAUUAGCCAACAAAUGCUUAGCCACACGACAGUACAAUUUAAUUAUCAAGAAGUGCUCUAGUAGGAAGUUGACAUUUACCUCAUAGGCUACAAAAACGGAGCUUUUUCAGAAAGACAAACAAGUAAUGUAACCCAGGCUACUGCAAUAGCAGUGUUAACAGAUCUGACGAAUUAUCAACGAGACUCAAAAGAAAAUGUCGAUCACACUUCUGACUGUCUUUCUGGUGGAAGCAAUAAUCUGCACAAUUUCAGAAACAAGGUCAAGAAUGACACAGCAAAACAACGUAUGUUCUACACAAGCCUCCAAAAUGGAAACCGUCGGAGUGAACUGAAGCUUUCACAAUGUGUAGGAGUCUACCUACCACCAGCAUAAUCGCAUGGAAGUGGUGAACAGCUCUACAGAAAAGUGGGAGGUGAGCUGGUGUUGAAACCAGACAAGUCCACAGUGACUGACCCCAUCACAAGCAUCCUAUGG